GACGAACGCUGGCGGCGUGCUUAACACAUGCAAGUCGAACGAAGUGGCGAACGGGUGAGUAACGCGUAAUCAACCUGCCCUUCAGAGGGGUACAACCGUUGGAAACGACUUCUCAUACCGCAUACUGACGGAGGGGAUUGCGUAUGAUUAGCUAGUUGGUGGGGUAACGGCCCACCAAGGCGAUGAUCAGUAGCCGGUCUGAGAGGAUGAACGGCCACACUGUGACUGAGACACGGCCCAGACUCCUACGGGAGGCAGCAGUGGGGAAUUUUGGACAAUGGGCGCAAGCCUGAUCGAGCCAUGCCGCGUGUCUGAAGAAGGCCUUCGGGUUGUAAAGGACUUUUGUCAGGGAAGCGGUACCUGAAGAAAAAGCACCGGCUAACUACGUGCCAGCCGCCGCGGUAAUUC
rnacentral:rRNA from 1 species